rnacentral:rRNA from 1 species
CCCUUAGAUGUUCUGGGCUGCACGCGCGCUACACUGACACACCCAGCGAGUCUCCUGCCCUGACAGGGUUGGGUAAUCAUUGGAGUGUGUGUCGUGAUGGGGAUAGAGUAUUGCAAUUAUUGCUCUCGAACGAGGAAUUCCUAGUAAGCACAAGUCAGCAGCUUGUGCUGAUUACGUCCCUGCCCUUUGUACACACCGCCCGUCGCUCCUACCGAGGGGGUGAUCCGGUGAAUGAUUCGGACUUUGGCGUUUCUAGCUGCUAGCAGCGCUGAAGAAAGUUUUGUGAACCUUAUCACUUGGAGGAAGGGGAAGUCGUAACA